CCUCAUCAAAAACAUGACUUUGAUCUGCGUCCUCAUCUGGACUCUCCUCUGCUGCUGCUUCACAGAGUCCAGAGGUCAGGUCACAGUGACUCAGCCUGCAGCAGUGACAGCUGAUCUGGGAGGAUCUGCCACCAUCGGCUGUAGGACCAGUCAGAACGUUUAUAACAACGAAUUAGCCUGGUACCAACAGAAAGCUGGAAAUCCUCCUAAGCGGCUUAUUUAUCGUACCAGCACUCGAGACUCAGGGACUCCAAGUCGUUUUACAGGCAGUGGAUCAAACUCUGACUUCACUCUGACCAUCAGUGGAGUUCAGGCUGAGGAUGCUGCAGGUUAUUACUGUCAGGGUGUUCAUUACAUCAACAGUCAGUACCCACGCACACAGUGA